rnacentral:rRNA from 1 species
CCUACGGGUGGCUGCAGUGGGGAAUCUUGCGCAAUGGACGAAAGUCUGACGCAGCCACGCCGCGUGAGUGAAGAAGGCCUUCGGGUUGUAAAGCUCUGUCGGAAGGGACAAAAACCAUCUAGGUUAAUAGCCUAGGUGCUUGAUGGUACCUUUAAAGGAAGCACCGGCUAACUUCGUGCCAGCAGCCGCGGUAAUACGAAGGGUGCAAGCGUUGCUCGGAAUUAUUGGGCGUAAAGGGUUGGUAGGUGGUUACGUAUGUCUGGGGUGAAAUCCCU